rnacentral:misc_RNA from 1 species
UCAUCUCAAUCCAAUAGCUUUGCGGCUGUCUGGAUUGGAUUUGGGAGUCUGCUGGCCUUUUCUCGAGGUCGGCUCUCCUUGAAUGCAUGAGUGAGCAUCUGGCUCGCGUUGCUAGUGUGAUAGUCUUCAUCAUUGGCGGCGCUUGCCUAACGGGCUCGCUUUCGAACCGUCUUCUCAACGGAGACAAACUCAUUGACAC